UACAGAGGGUGCUAGCGUUGUUCGGAAUUAUUGGGCGUAAAGAGCUCGUAGGCGGUUUGUCGCGUCUGCUGUGAAAACUCGGGGCUUAACUCCGGGCCUGCAGUGGGUACGGGCAGACUAGAGUGCGGUAGGGGAGACUGGAAUUCCUGGUGUAGCGGUGAAAUGCGCAGAUAUCAGGAGGAACACCGGUGGCGAAGGCGGGUCUCUGGGCCGUAACUGACGCUGAGGAGCGAAAGCGUGGGGAGCGAACAGG
rnacentral:rRNA from 1 species